AUAUCACACUUUCAUUGCAAAGACAAGAGGCAAAUCAGGUGUAAAACAUGUCCUAAGGGAUACUGUUUAUCACGCUGCUGUUGAUGCAUCUCCCAACCACAAUCCAACUACGUCGUGAAAUUCAAGGAAAUUGUGCCAAAGAUGUUCUACUAGAGUGUUCAGUUUUCAGCAGCAAAGCCUUUGAUUUUUUUCCCAUUCACGUGGUAUAAGGGUGUCACAGCUAUUAUCAGGAUGCAUAAAGAGCACAUACAGCCCUUCAGCUUCCCUGAUGUUUUUAAGCGGGUGUCCU